rnacentral:rRNA from 1 species
UACGAAGGGUGCAAACGUUGCUCGGAAUUAUUGGGCGUAAAGCGCACGUAGGCGGCUUGGCAAGUCGGAUGUGAAAUCCCUCGGCUCAACCAAGGAAGUGCAUCCGAAACUGCCGAGCUUGAGUACUUAAGAGGAUCGCGGAAUUCCCGGUGUAGAGGUGAAAUUCGUAGAUAUCGGGAGGAACACCAGUGGCGAAGGCGGCGAUCUGGGAAGAUACUGACGCUGAGGUGACGAAAGCGGUGGGGAGCAAACAGG